GAUGAACGCUAGCUACAGGCUUAACACAUGCAAGUCGAGGGGUAACGAGAGGAAAGCUUGCUUUCCUUGUCGACGACCGGCGCACGGGUGAGUAACGCGUAUCCAACCUGCCCCCAACUAGGGAAUAACCUUGCGAAAGUAAGACUAAUACCCUAUAAUUUCCUCAGAUGACAUCUGACGAGGAAUAAAGAUUUAUCGGUUGUGGAUGGGGAUGCGUCUGAUUAGCUUGUUGGCGGGGUAACGGCCCACCAAGGCAACGAUAGGUAGGGGUUCUGAGAGGAAGGGACCCCACAUUGGACGCGAGCGACGGUCCAAACGCCUACGGGAGGUAGCAGCGAUGAAUAUUGGUCAAUGGGCGGAAGCCUGUAUCAGCCAAGUAGCGUGCAGUACGACGGCACUAUGGGUUGUAAACUGCUUUUAUACAGGAAUAAAGUUAGCCACGUGUGGUUAUUUGUAGGUACUGUAUGAAUAAGGACCGGCUAAGUCCGUGCCAGCCGCCGCAGUAA
rnacentral:rRNA from 1 species